UAUUUACAUUGAGCACCAUUUUAAUUUACUUUUUUAGACCUAAUUUUUAUAUUGUUAUCUUUUCUACAAUUUCAUCUAUUUUCUCUCAUUAUCGGUAGUUUCUUUCCUCUUCUCCACGAUGGUGAAGAUUUAGCUGCGGAGGAGGCAACGAAAUGACGGAGAAAAUGAAACGGCGGUGGAGGCAUUAGAUCGAUGGUAAAGACGGAAAAGUCGGCGGCGAUAAUAUCUAAAAUUUGGUGAGGCAGAACGGCAGCGGCGAAAAAGGAAGAGCGGCAGCGGUAGAGAAGGAAGAACAACGGUGAUAUAAUAUAUGUUUGUUGUACCAAAGACGAGAACUUUAAAUCUAAUAUCAAUGUAGAUGAGGAGUUCUUGCCCGUCAAAACGGUGAUCUUACAAUCAUAUAUGAUGUCAUCGGAACAUACUACUGGAGUUAGUGGCCGCUGGGCACAUGUUGUAGUAGAAAUCACAAUCCCCAUAGUCGUCUCGAUAAUUUCUUACUUUUUGUAUUUUUGGCCUUUUUUUUUUCUUUUUUGUCAGUAACAAUAAAUGUAGUUUAUCGUGAAACUAAGUGUAAUGAUAUUGUUUACAAUCAACUAUUUUAAAUAUGAAUUAUUAAUAUUUCUGAAUAA